GCUCAGAGCGAACGCUUGGCGGCAGGCUUAACACAUGCAAGUCGAACGGGCGUAGCAAUACGUCAGUGGCAGACGGGUGAGUAACGCGUGGGAACAUACCUCUUGGUUCGGAACAACACAGGGAAACUUGUGCUAAUACCGGAUAAGCCCUUACGGGGAAAGAUUUAUCGCCGAGAGAUUGGCCCGCGUCUGAUUAGCUAGUUGGUGGGGUAAAGGCCUACCAAGGCGACGAUCAGUAGCUGGUCUGAGAGGAUGAUCAGCCACAUUGGGACUGAGACACGGCCCAAACUCCUACGGGAGGCAGCAGUGGGGAAUAUUGGACAAUGGGCGCAAGCCUGAUCCAGCCAUGCCGCGUGAGUGAUGAAGGCCCUAGGAUUGUAAAGCUCUUUUGUACGGGAAGAUAAUGACGGUACCGUAAGAAUAAGCCCCGGCUAACUUCGUGCCAGCAGCCGCGGUAAUACGAAGGGGGCUAGCGUUGCUCGGAAUCACUGGGCGUAAAGGGUGCGUAGGCGGGUUUUUAAGUCAGAGGUGAAAUCCUGGAGCUCAACUCCAGAACUGCCUUUGAUACUGAAAGUCUUGAGUAUGGGAGAGGUGAGUGGAACUGCGAGUGUAGAGGUGAAAUUCGUAGAUAUUCGCAAGAACACCAGUGGCGAAGGCGGCUCACUGGCCCAUAACUGACGCUGAGGCACGAAAGCGUGGGGAGCAAACAGGAUUAGAUACCCUGGUAGUCCACGCCGUAAACGAUAAAUGCCAGCCGUUAGUGGGUUUACUCACUAGUGGCGCAGCUAACGCUUUAAGCAUUCCGCCUGGGGAGUACGGUCGCAAGAUUAAAACUCAAAGGAAUUGACGGGGGCCCGCACAAGCGGUGGAGCAUGUGGUUUAAUUCGACGCAACGCGCAGAACCUUACCAGCCCUUGACAUGUCUAUGACCGGUACCAGAGAUGGAACCUUCCCUUCGGGGCAUAGAGCACAGGUGCUGCAUGGCUGUCGUCAGCUCGUGUCGUGAGAUGUUGGGUUAAGUCCCGCAACGAGCGCAACCCCCGUCCUUAGUUGCUACCAUUUAGUUGAGCACUCUAAGGAGACUGCCGGUGAUAAGCCGCGAGGAAGGUGGGGAUGACGUCAAGUCCUCAUGGCCCUUACGGGCUGGGCUACACACGUGCUACAAUGGCGGUGACAAUGGGAUGCAAAAGGGCGACCUCUCGCAAAUCUCAAAAAGCCGUCUCAGUUCGGAUUGGGCUCUGCAACUCGAGCCCAUGAAGUUGGAAUCGCUAGUAAUCGUGGAUCAGCAUGCCACGGUGAAUACGUUCCCGGGCCUUGUACACACCGCCCGUCACACCAUGGGAGUUGGUUCUACCUGAAGGCAGUGCGCUAACCGCAAGGGGGCAGCUGACCACGGUAGGGUCAGCGAUCUGGGGUG
rnacentral:rRNA from 1 species